rnacentral:misc_RNA from 1 species
AACUUUUGGCAAUGGAUCACUUGGUUCCUGCAUCGAUGAAGAACGCAGCGAAAUGCGAUAAGUAAUGUGAAUUGCAGAAUUCAGUGAAUCAUCGAAUCUUUGAACGCACAUUGCGCCCUUUGGCAUUCCGAAGGGCAUGCCUGUUCGAGCGUCAUGAACAACCUCAAGCCUAGCUUGGUAUUGGGUUUUCGUCUUCACCGCUCCGUCUCUGUUGGGGUAGUGACGUGCCUGAAAGUCAAUGGCGUUGACUCAAUACACUCAAGCGUAGCAGACCAACUCUCGCUUUGGAGAACUUUUGUGGGUCCUGCCAAACAAAACAAUCAAAGUUGGACCUAGGAUCAGGUAGGGAUACCCGCUGAUCCUAAGCAUAUCAAUAAGCGGAGGCU